UAUGAUGCACCGGGACGGAUACGGGGACAGAAACGGGGACGGAAGCGGGAACGGGAAACGGUAAAAUUUAAAAAUUAUGGGUACGGGUACGGCAAAUAUAUAUUAGUAAAAAACAUAAAAUAUUUAUAAAAAAAACAAAUUUAUACAGCAAAUCUAACAUAAUUAAAUAUAAUUUACUAUAAUAUGUCUAUUUUGCCAACUAAAAUUAGAAGCAAGAUAAUAGUGACAGUUAAAAGACAAUUACACAAGCAUUAGGUCCCGUGAAAACUAGUCUUAUUCAUAACUAAGUUCUCUAACCGUCCCCAAGCCGUACCAGUGCUGUCCCCGUGAAGUACCCGUCCCCGAAACGUUUCCGGUACCGGUACGGCAUCUAAAUAGACGUCCCCGUGCUACACAGA
rnacentral:lncRNA from 1 species